UACGGGGGGGGCAAGCGUUGUUCGGAAUUACUAGGCGUAAAGGGCUCGUAGGCGGCCAACUAAGUCAGACGUGAAAUCCCCAGGCUCAACCUGGGAACUGCGUCUGAUACUGGAUGGCUUGAAUUCGGGAGAGGGAUGCAGAAUUCCAGGUGUAGCGGUGAAAUGCGUAGAUAUCUGGAGGAAUACCGGUGGCGAAGGCGGCAUCCUGGACCGACAUUGACGCUGAGGGGCGAAAGCCAGGGGAGCAAACGGG
rnacentral:rRNA from 1 species